rnacentral:hammerhead_ribozyme from 1 species
AUCUAACUGACGAGUUCCAAAUAGUACGAAACGCGCGUCCAACUGGAU